CCUACGGGCGGCUGCAGUGGGGAAUAUUGCACAAUGGGGGAAACCCUGAUGCAGCGACGCAGCGUGAGUGAAGAAGUAUUUCGGUAUGUAAAGCUCUAUCAGCAGGAACGAGACAAGACGGUACCUGACUAAGAAGCCCCGGCUAACUACGUGCCAGCAGCCGCGGGAAUACGUAGGGGGCAAGCGUUAGCCGGAAUCACUGGGUGUAAAGGGAGCGUAGACGGCUGUGCAAGCCUGAAGUGAAAGGCGGGGGCCCAACCCCUGGACUGCUUUGGGAACUGUACGGUUGGAGUGCAGGAGAGGUAAGUGGAAUUCCUAGUGUAGCGGUGAAAUGCGUAGAUAUUAGGAGGAACACCAGUGGCGAAGGCGGCUUACUGGACUGUAACUGACGUUGAGGCUCGAAAGCGUGGGGAGCAAACAGGAUUAGAUACCCCUGUAGUC
rnacentral:rRNA from 1 species